UACGGGGGGGGCAAGCGUUGUUCGGAAUUACUGGGCGUAAAGGGCUCGUAGGCGGCCAACUAAGUCGGAUGUGAAAUCCCCAGGCUUAACCUGGGAACUGCAUCCGAUACUGGAUGGCUUGAAUCCGGGAGAGGGAUGCAGAAUUCCAGGUGUAGCGGUGAAAUGCAUAGAUACCAUCAAGAACACCGAUUGCGUAGGCAGCUUACUAGGCUGUAACUGACGCUGAGGCACGAAAGCGUGGGGAGCGAACAGG
rnacentral:rRNA from 1 species